UGGGUUUUGAAUUUGCAGUAACAGGUGUGAGCAUACUAGCAGCAGUGUGACAAUCAUGUAUGAUACUGCAAACAGGAC
rnacentral:miRNA from 1 species